rnacentral:rRNA from 1 species
GACACGACUCUCGGCAACGGAUAUCUCGGCUCUCGCAUCGAUGAAGAACGUAGCAAAAUGCGAUACCUGGUGUGAAUUGCAGAAUCCCGCGAACCAUCGAGUUUUUGAACGCAAGUUGCGCCCGAGGCCUUCUGGCCAAGGGCACGUCUGCCUGGGCGUCACGC